rnacentral:rRNA from 1 species
UAGUCUGGUGCCAGCAGCCGCGGUAAUUCCAGCUCCAAUAGCGUAUAUUAAAGUUGUUGCAGUUAAAACGCUCGUAGUCGGAUUUCGGGGCAGGUUUGCCGGUCUGCCGAUGGGUAUGCACUGGUAGAACUGUCCUUCCUUCCGGAGACGGCGCCUACUCUUAACUGAGCGGGUGUCGGAGACGGAUCGUUUACUUUGAAAAAAUCAGAGUGUUUCAAGCAGGCAGCUCGCUUUUGCAUGGAUUAGCAUGGGAUAAUGAAAUAGGACUUUGGUGCUAUUUUGUUGGUUUCGAACACCGAAGUAAUGAUUAACAGGGACAGUCAGGGGCACUCGUAUUCCGCCGAGAGAGGUGAAAUUCUUAGACCAGCGGAAGACGAACCACUGCGAAAGCAUUUGCCAGGGAUGUUUUCACUGAUCAAGAACGAAAGUUAGGGGCUCGAAGACGAUCAGAUACCGUCGUAGUCUUAACCAUAAACCAUGCCGACUAGGGAUUGGAGGAUGUUCCUAUGUGACUCCUUCAGCACCUUUCGGGAAACUAAAGUCUUUGGGUUCCGGGGGGAGUAUGGUCGCAAGGCUGAAACUUAAAGGAAUUGACGGAAGGGCACCACCAGGAGUGGAGCCUGCGGCUUAAUUUGACUCAACACGGGGAAACUUACCAGGUCCAGACAUUGUGAGGAUUGACAGAUUGAGAGCUCUUUCUUGAUUCGAUGGGUGGUGGUGCAUGGCCGUUCUU